ensembl:lncRNA
CAGGAAGUGGAGAGUGUUACCGUCAGCCAUACCCACACAGGUCCUCACAUCAAUGCAAAGGGCAGUGACAUGGAAAGCCAAGGAGUUCUGUACCUUUCCCUCUUCACCUCUAAUUCAGAUUGUUUCCAUGGGUGUCUCCUGUAUAGGAGACAACACUGUUCAUGUAGAGGACAUAUAAAACGCAAACUAACCCAAGCUGCCCAACUCACGUCUCCGUCAGCAAGAAGUGCAGGAGGUCCUCCUUCCAGCCUGCUCCUUUCUGCAGAGCCUAUGCCAGCACCCAGUGACUACUGGAGCACAACAAGAUCAAUGUCAGGACAGCAUUAUUCACUCUAAUAUCAAUGACCUGGAAGAAGCCAUGUAAAAGGAUGGAACCUGCCAAUGGCUCAGUAUGGGAGGAGGUUUGCAAGGAGGAAAUAAAAGCAAGAGUGAAGCCACUCAGAGUGACUUGGCUUGGCACAGCAAUGGGAGCAGUUCAACACAGAGGAAGCAGAGCGCAUCUGGGGAAAAUCAAACAACAACAGCAGCAAAUAUAACACCACAGAUCCCACAAUCUUAUUUGGUUCUGCAUGAUGGACUCAGACAGAGCAGUAAUUUGAGAUACUAUAAAUGUACAUAUUGUUAAUGAAGGAAACUGCAGAGAUCAGUUCUGGAUUGAGAUUGCGUCCCCAGCCUUGGAUCCUUUAACGUCCCAGAAGGCACACAUGAAAAAAGAAAAAUCCCCCUACUUACACUGUGAAGAGGUGCUAACAGCUUUAAAGAAUUACCCACCAAAUAUUAGGUGCAAUUUAAAACUACAUUUAAAGCAGCACGGGUAGUUUAAAAGUCUACGUGGCCGGCUAAAAGUCAGAGAGAGAAAAUUGCUUGAACACGUGUUGGAUGAAUUUCUUUCUGCGUGGGAGAUAUCGCACCAGUGGGGUAAUAUACCCUCCUUUUUCAAAAAAAAGAGGCAGAUCCUUUAUCUGGUCUUUUGCAUGCUGUGUGAUUCCAAACCUGGGCAAAAGCCUUCAGCUCACUUCCAUUUACUACUCACAGAACACAACUCUGCUAUCUAAAAAUCGUGGAAGAUUAUUUAUAGUGAAAGACAACCUUAGGCUAAACUAUUAAGUGAGGAUAAUGGAUAUGAGCCACCUAAGGCGUGUGGAGGGCUCCUUAAUGAAUUACUGGGUAAAACAAAGUCAGAUGCGCUCAGGUAGCGUCCAGUUCAAGCAGUGUGCUGUUAGAGGGCCAAGGAAGGCUCACCUCAUGUCAAGACCUGGAAACUGCACCACAGAGUGUUCCAGGCAUUGCCCUACACCCACUUCGAGGUCUCUUCAAGGGCUGCUCAGAUCAUCCUCUACAAUAUUUACUCAGCUUAUUGUAUGCUGUAUCAAUUUAAAGGUGCGCUGUAACUUAUUAGAUAGUUAUUAGCUUCCAUUUUUAGCCCUGAUCUAUUUCAUAGACCCUGAUGCCCCCUAUUUUACGUAAGAAAGGACGUUUUAAUAGAUAUAAUCUAAAUUAGUUGGUAACUCGAUAACUUGUUCCAGUCUGCUUCUCUAAUGAAACCUGCAUUAAUGACCGCCUUCAGUAGGCAAUCUCGAACUUUAAGAAGGCACUUUAAAAUAUUCAUAACAUUUCUGGUGCAGUGUUGUUUGAACUGUAUUUAACAGACAUCUCAAAUGGGCGUUCUGGUGCUUUGCAGGAGUCAUUGUCAAUAAUGACUUUUGCAGCCCUGUCUUUGGGGCCAGGGCAGUAAUUUUGGUCGUGGCCAUGGGGCCAAGUCCCCAUGUGUCCCGUGUACUGGGCCAGAUGUGAGGAAAAAAACAACAAAUUAAGUAAUAGUCCACACUGUAAUUGGGAAUAAACUUCCUGAAGGAUUAGUCAAGGCACAAAUUUCUGAAAGACUUUAAAAAAAUAACUGACAGAAGGUUUACUUGUAACCUAAAAUCUUUCAAAAAGGGAAAAGAGUCAAACUGCAAUAAUUAAUAUUAAAUACUUAGUGUGCAAUUAAUGGUAAUUAUAUAUAUAAAAAAAGCAACCAAUUAAAUGCUGCAACAUAAUGCACCCGAAAUCUUGUAAACGAGUGGCAUUUGUAGCAAAUGCUAAGAGCUCCUUUAAGCCAGUCACUUCUUAAAGGCUUUUGCUUUGGGAAUAAGUGUUACCUUAAUACAUUUACUUAGAUACGAUGAAAGUCAGACUUAACCUUUGCACAGUUGAAAUAACUUUAGCAACAAAACAAUGGAGUAAAUGUGAACCUCUUCUGCAAAUGCAAAUGGUAAUGCAAUCAGUGCUCAGUAAAUAAAUAUAAACACGUUUGAGCCAUAAACUGACCAGUAGCUGUUAUAGGGGUUGUCCUGAUCCCUGCUGAGCAGAGGUGGCAUCCAUAACCAGGUGCUCCUGGGACACUGAAAUGCUAUUCUGCAUCGCCUCUUCUAUCAGCUAUUACAAAAUAAAUCCAAGUCUAACUCAGUGAGAAUUCCCAAGGAGAAGAGAGUGCUAAAUGGGUUUUAAACAGUCCAAACCCCAGUGCAUGAGCAGAAUUUGGGCCAAAAGUCCUGCCAGGGGCCAGUCAGCAGGAGCCCGCUGCCAAGUGCUGAUCCUUAGAUCAACACCUCAUCCGUAAGAGGAGCCCAGUCUGGAAAUCAAAGGAAGCCCACCAGAAAAAAAAAAAAAUGUAAAAAAAAAAAGCCAUAAAUCUGUGUUGGCUCCCAGCCCAGUGUGAUCUUACAGUAUGUUUUUGCUGAUGCUGCUUCUGGGAUGGGACAAAGGAAAUGGAUGACACGGAGAUGUCGGUGGCAGGAAGACCACCAGAUUGCCCGUAAAGAAGCAGCAGGCAGCGGGUGUAUGUGACAGGGCUGUCAUGGGGCUACAAGUUCAUCCCUCCAACUAUUUUUCUGCCUUGUGAGGUUUGCAGCAGCUCAGCUA